UGGAUGUCUGUGGAUCUCUAACAGACGUUACACAUUUUUUGUUUAAGUGAACCUUCAAAGCUGAUUGGAAUCUGAUAAAAGCACUGGCCAAAAUAAGUCCGACAACCAUUGCCAGUGACAUAGUGCCAGCGGUAAAGCAUACAACCUCCGGUUUCACUCGAAUAGAUAGAUAGAGAUAUACAUGACACCAUGCCACACAAUGUCACAAAGAUAGCAUGGUGCUAGCUAACCAAGCUCUGCAGAUGUUAUAAUUAAACUUCAAACAUGCUGGGGCCAUCUUUGGUUCUCAAUCUUUGAUUUUGCCUUCACUGACUUCCCCUGUCAAGUCCAACAUUUUUGUCUUCAUUGACCUUCCUUGGGAACCCCAACAUCCUGUCUACGCCAGUGAUACCAAACAGAAAAGCACUACCAUAAACAAAAAAUGUCGCCUUGCAAGCCAAAUCUAGUACACCACGAGCCCUUUCUGUGUACUUCUUAAAGCGCCUGCAAGUAGAGAGGGG
rnacentral:lncRNA from 1 species